UUAAGUUCAGCGGGUAGUCCUACUCGAUUUGAGGUCAAGUUGUCAGUUGUUGUCCGAAGACGGUUUGAAGCACAGAGCUCCCGGUCAGCCACCCUCUAGUGAGGUGCCGGCGAAGACACUUAUCACGCCGUACUAUGUCCAACCAGGAGUUGCACGAAUCCAUUUGAGGUGAGCCACGGUAAAGCAGCAACACCCAAGUC
rnacentral:misc_RNA from 1 species